CAGCAACACCAAUUGGUUCAUGUAAAAUUUGUACAUGGUGUGGCCCAUCAGCUGGUACGGUUAGACCAUGUAUUUUGUCUGCCCAACCUAUGUUUUUUCAAGAAAGAAAUUUUCAAAAGAUUGUACAUACACGUGAAAGCUUGACAGUGAACAGCUAGUAAAGUUUAAUGAGCAAAUAUUCCUUGUCUGAAAAGUAUCAUUACCAGCAUAAUACCGAAAUAGUCUCACAAAAGAAGGUACUUCAGCUUCGGCAGCCUGCAAAUAUGGCUUGC
rnacentral:lncRNA from 1 species